CUCCACUCCGUCUGCCCAGUGUUCAGACUACCUGUUCAGGACUACGAGAUUGUACAGUAGUCUGCACAUUGGUUAGGCUGUGCUGGGAUAC
rnacentral:pre_miRNA from 1 species